GCAAUGGACGAAAGUUCUGACGGAGCAACGCCGCGUGAGUGAUGAAGGUUUUUCGGAUCGUAAAGCUCUGUUGUUAGGGAAGAACAAGUACCGUUCGAAUAGGGCGGUACCUUGACGGUACCUAACCAGAAAGCCACGGCUAACUACGUGCCAGCAGCCGCGGUAAUACGUAGGUGGCAAGCGUUGUCCGGAAUUAUUGGGCGUAAAGGGCUCGCAGGCGGUUUCUUAAGUCUGAUGUGAAAGCCCCCGGCUCAACCGGGGAGGGUCAUUGGAAACUGGGGAACUUGAGUGCAGAAGAGGAGAGUGGAAUUCCACGUGUAGCGGUGAAAUGCGUAGAGAUGUGGAGGAACACCAGUGGCGAAGGCGACUCUCUGGUCUGUAACUGACGCUGAGGAGCGAAAGCGUGGGGAGCGAACAGGAUUAGAUACCCUGGUA
rnacentral:rRNA from 1 species